GUGGGGAAUAUUGGACAAUGGGCGCAAGCCUGAUCCAGCCAUGCCGCGUGAGUGAUGAAGGCCUUAGGGUUGUAAAGCUCUUUCAGCUGGGAAGAUAAUGACGGUACCAGCAGAAGAAGCCCCGGCUAACUUCGUGCCAGCAGCCGCGGUAAUACGAAGGGGGCUAGCGUUGUUCGGAAUCACUGGGCGUAAAGCGCACGUAGGCGGAUCGAUAAGUCAGGGGUGAAAUCCCGAGGCUCAACCUCGGAACUGCCUUUGAUACUGUCGACCUUGAGUCCGGGAGAGGUGAGUGGAACUCCGAGUGUAGAGGUGAAAUUCGUAGAUAUUCGGAAGAACACCAGUGGCGAAGGCGGCUCACUGGCCCGGUACUGACGCUGAGGUGCGAAAGCGUGGGGAGCAAACAGGAUUAGAUACCCCGGUAGUCC
rnacentral:rRNA from 1 species